GCCGAUAUAGCUCAGUUGGUAGAGCAGCUCAUUCGUAAUGAGAAGGUCGUAGGUUCGACUCCUAUUAUCGGCACCA
rnacentral:tRNA from 5 species